CCCGCUGAACUUAAGCAUAUCAAUAAGCGGAGGAAAAGAAACUAACAAGGAUUCCCCUAGUAACGGCGAGUGAAGCGGGAAGAGCUCAAAUUUAAAAUCUGGUUUGCUUGCAAAUCCGAGUUGUAGUCUGAAGAAACGUUUUCCAUGAAAAUCGAGGCACAAGUCCUUUGGAACAGGGCAUCAUAGAGGGUGAGAAUCCCGUCCAUGGUCUCGAAUCUUUCAUUUUGUGAUACGUUUUCUAAGAGUCAGGUUGUUUGGGAAUGCAGCCUAAAAUGGGUGGUAAAUUUCAUCUAAAGCUAAAUAUUGGCGAGAGACCGAUAGCGAACAAGUACCGUGAGGGAAAGAUGAAAAGAACUUUGGAAAGAGAGUUAAACAGUACGUGAAAUUGCUGAAAGGGAAACGCUUGAAGUCAGUCGCGUUGGCUGGAAAUCAACCUUGCUCUUGCUUGGUGUACUUUCUGGUUGACGGGUCAGCAUCAAUUUUGACCGCUGGAUAAAGUCUUUGGGAAUGUGGCAUCUUAGGAUGUGUUAUAGCCCAUUGUCGUAUACGGUGGUUGGGAUUGAGGAACUCAGCACGCCGCAAGGCCGGGUUUCGACCACGUUCGUGCUUAGGAUGCUGGCAUAAUGGCUUUAAUCGACCCGUCUUGAAACACGG
rnacentral:rRNA from 1 species